CAGGCAAGAGCCACUCAGGCUAGCCAAGGUGACCGCCCACAAACUCAGCUGAACUGGCCAUGCAACCGGAACUCGCAAUGCCAUGUAGGCAAGUCAUCCUUGGCUACCAAAGGCAGGCUCUCGCCA
rfam:Sorghum bicolor cultivar BTx623 chromosome 6, whole genome shotgun sequence.